rnacentral:rRNA from 1 species
GUCCACGCUGUAAACGUUGCGAACUAGGUGUCGGGGGUAUUCACCCCUCCGGUGCCGAAGCUAACGUCUUAAGUUCGCCGCCUGGGAAGUACGGCCGCAAGGCUAAAACUCAAAGGAAUUGACGGGGGCCCGCACAAGCGGUGGAGCAUGUGGUUCAAUUCGAUGCAACGCGAAGAACCUUACCUGGGCUUGACAUCCGGAGAAUCCUUCAGAAAUGAGGGAGUGCCUGUAAGGGACUCCGAGACAGGUGCUGCAUGGCUGUCGU